AUAAUGGUGACUACUACAACCCUAAUGCUAUUUGCUGGGAGGUUUGGGUUGGCCCCAUCUGCAAACAGGAAGGCAACAGCAGGGUUGAAGCUUGAGACCAGGGACUCUGGGCUGCAGACCGGUGACCCAGCUGGGUUCACUCUUGCUGAUACCUUGGCUUGUGGCACUGUGGGGCACAUUAUUGGGGUUGGGGUUGUUCUUGGCCUUAAGAAUAUUGGUUCCCUGUAAUUAAUUAAAUCAAAUUUCC
rnacentral:lncRNA from 1 species